GUGAAUCAAGGAAACAAGAGAAGAAUUCAAAAACUCGGAAAAAGAAGAAGUAAUGGCUACCGAAGAUCAGAAAGCGUUGAGGGAUUUUGCUACACCCAAGGUGACUGAGCUGCAGUCAAGUAUCACCAGGCCUGCUAUAGCUACGAACACCUUUGAAAUCAAGCCUGAGAUGAUUCAAAUGAUUCAAAAUUCGGUUCAGUUUGGGGUUUAGCAAAUGAUGAUCCG
rnacentral:lncRNA from 1 species